rnacentral:lncRNA from 1 species
AGCAAAUAUAAAAUUCUCCUCUGUAGUUUCUCUGGUCUUACUGCAAGAAGUUCCCCUGGCUGCCAUAUUCUUUGUUUCCAGAGCUAUGAAAGGAUCAGGAGGACUGGAGCGGUCAGAAGACAGGAAGAGUUAAGACAUCGAAGCCCUGAAGAGAAAGAGUGCAGGAGCUUGAGGUUUUGGCGAGCGAGCUUCAUGUUGGUCCUCCAGGGUAGAGACAUUUUAAAGGAAGAAAUUCCAGAUUAGAAUUUUAAAAUUUUCUGAAGCAGUUGGAGAGGCCGCCUUUCCUGUUAAUUAUAAGAGCAACUGGAAAAGCAAUCAAGCAGCAACAUUUCGGUAUUCUCCAAAGUUUGUGUAUAGUCAAAGCCACGGUCUCAGCGUUCACUUUGUCGAGACUCCCUCACCUCUUUAUAAUCUCUUCGGAUAGCAGAACAUUCUUCCCCAGCAGAGCCAACCUCAAAGGCAGACAUGCUCCUGCUCUUCAGUGUCUUGGAGCUCUUCUGAGCUUGUACUUUGCCCACCCUCCCUAAUUCUGUUGCUCUUUAUGCCCGGCUACCAUCUUCUCAGCUUGUCAGAUUCUAACAAUCCACUUAACUCAUUGCAGCAUUUUUCUCUCACUGCAAAUAGAAAGGACAAGUCUACUGCAUCUUCCACAUGAUCAUUUCUCAAAUAUCAAAAAG